rnacentral:rRNA from 1 species
GACGAACGCUGGCGGCGUGCCUAAUACAUGCAAGUCGAGCGGAAUGAUGAAGAAGCUUGCUUCUUCUGAUUUUAGCGGCGGACGGGUGAGUAACACGUGGGCAACCUACCUUGUAGAUUGGGAUAACUCCGGGAAACCGGGGCUAAUACCGAAUAAUCCAUUUUGCUUCAUGGCGAGAUGUUAAAAGGCGGCUUCGGCUGUCACUACGAGAUGGGCCCGCGGCGCAUUAGCUAGUUGGUAGGGUAAUGGCCUACUAAGGCGACGGUGCGUAGCCGACCUGAGAGGGUGAUCGGCCACACUGGGACUGAGACACGGCCCAGACUCCUACGGGAGGCAGCAGUAGGGAAUCUUCCACAAUGGACGAAAGUCUGAUGGAGCAACGCCGCGUGAGUGAAGAAGGUUUUCGGAUCGUAAAACUCUGUUGUAAGGGAAGAACACGUACGAGAGUAACUGCUCGUACCUUGACGGUACCUUAUUAGAAAGCCACGGCUAACUACGUG